rnacentral:misc_RNA from 1 species
AUUCCAUCGCAAGGUUGAACCUAUAUUCAAGCUUGCUGGGUUUAAGUUGGAAGUAGUCAAAACCACAUCUGCAGGUCAUGCUAGGAAACUUGCAAGCACAGUAGACUUCAGCACAUGUCCUGAUGGUAUUAUAUGUGUUGGAGGUGAUGGAAUAGUGAAUGAGGUUUUAAACGGGUUACUCACUAGGGAUAACCAGAAAGAAGCAAUUUCGGUUCCAAUUGGAAUCAUUCCUGCUGGUUCUGAUAAUUCUUUGGUCUGGACCGUGCUUGGAGUUAGAGAUCCAGUGUCAGCUGCAAUAGCGAUUGUCAAGGGAGGGCUUACACCUACCGAUGUUUUUGCUGUUGAAUGGGUUCAAAGUGGUAGAAUUCACUUUGGAUCGACUGUCACCUACUUUGGCUUUGUGAGCGAUGUGCUGGAACUAUCUGAGAAAUACCAGAAGCGGUUUGGUCCAUUGCGCUACUUUGUCGCUGGGUUCCUCAAAUUCAUGUGCUUACCAAAGUACAAUUUUGAAGUGGAGUAUCUUCCAGCACUGAAAGAAGCAACUGGAGAAGGAAAAGCUUCAGUCAUUGAUAUGUCUGAACUGUAUACAGACAUUAUGAGAAGGUCAAGCAAGGAAGGGCUUCCCAGAGCCUCAAGCUUAUCAAGUAUUGAUUCAAUAAUGACCCCAAGCAGAAUGUCUGGAGCAGACUUGGAUACUACAUGUAGUAGCACUGAGCCAUCAGAAUAUGUGCGUGCAAUUGAUGCAAAAUCUAAGCGCUUGUCUGCUGGACGAAGUGGCAACACAACUUCUGAACCGGAAGUUAUCCACCCUCAGGUUCCACAUUCAGUAACACCGAAUUGGCCCAGGACUAGGUCCAAAUCAAAAACAGAUAAAGGGUGGGCUGGGUUGACUGCUGCAAAUGACCUCACUAGAUCUUCUUGGGCAAAUACAACUACAAAUGAUAAAGAGGAUAUCUCAUCAACAAUGUCAGACCCGGGGCCAAUUUGGGACGCAGAACCAAGAUGGGAUACAGAACCUCAUUGGAAUAUAGAAAAUCCUAUUGAAUUGCCUGGACCAGCAGAAGAUACUGAAGAUGUUGUUCGGAAAGAUAUUGUCCACAAGGCUGCUGAAGAAUGGGUGUCUACCAAAGGUCAAUUUCUUGGUGUCCUGGUAUGCAAUCAUUCAUGCAAGACAGUUCAAAGCUUAAGUUCACAGGUUGUGGCCCCAAAAGCAGAACCUGAUGACAACACGUUAGAUCUGUUGUUGGUCCAUGGAAGUGGAAGACUGAAGCUUAUAAGGUUCUUCUUGCUUCUGCAAAUGGGCCGACACCUUUCCCUCCCGUACGUUGAGUAUGUCAAGGUUAAGGCAGUAAAGGUUAAGCCUGGGAAGCACUCUAACAGUAGCUGUGGUAUUGAUGGUGAACUUUUCCCGGUAAAUGAGCAAGUGAUUUCGUCCUUGCUUCCAGAACAGUGCAGGCUUAUUGGUCGCGCCCCAGGUAAUUGCAAGUGAUUGAUGGAGCCCUUGUAUAUCUUCAAUAGGUCUCUCUUCCUUCCGGCUGCAACAUUCAGCUCUUUAUUCGUCAUUGAGGUCCUUGUAAAUUUUGUCAAUGUUGCUUUCAUUUUUCAAAAAUUAUAUGUCAGCUUAUAUCUUAACAUGUAUCCUCUGCCGUAACUUGUAUUUUUUUUGCCUUUUGAGUUGGCUUGCUAUGAAUAUUGGCCAUGUCCCUUGUAAUAGUUUG